rnacentral:lncRNA from 1 species
AUGGCUGAUAAGGCAUCAUCUGCACCCGGGGAAGGUAAUCAGCCCAGCGAUGAAGUGGGCACAAGGAAGGGGUGCCGCCGCUACCGGUGGGAACUCAAAGACAGCAAUAAAGAGUUCUGGGUCCUUUGGCACGGCUUGGUCAAGUUCCUGAGUUUGGUGAGCUGGGCUGGUAUUCCUUGGGGAGAGGGAGUCAGGCUGGGCAGAAGGUGUCCCCGAGGGAUUCCCAAGGUCCACAGAGGGCCUGAGGAGUAUGUUUCUAUGCAGGGCUGCAUGAUUACAGCACAGCUCCUGUUCCAGUCAGUCCCCAAGGUGCACCCCUUCUUGGCGCUCAUCCUCACCAUGGAGAUAUCCAUCUUGUGCUUCUUAAUUAUCCUGUACACCUUUGCCAUCCAAAGAUACUUGCCCUUCAUCCUGUGGCCUGUUACUGAUCUUCUCAAUGACUUGGUUGCUUGUGCGUUCCUUGGAGGAGGUGCAUAUUUUGCUGUGGAGAAGCAACCAAACAUGCCACUAAACUACCUACUUGCUGUGAUCUUUAUGGGUUUGGCUGCAGUUUUUUAUUUAAUUGAUGCAUGUCUUCAAAGAAAACACUUCAAAGGCAAGAAGCUCAGAAAGAACAUGAUGGCCCCUCCAGCAAAGGGAGACGAUGGAGCAGGCAAGGGAAAGGGAAAGAAGUAACUCGAAGGCAACUCCUGUUGUCAGAAGUGGCAGUGUAUUUUACAAUAAAACAUUUCCACUGUCUUCCUCGUCUGCUUCCUAGAAUGGUUUUCUUUUCCAUACUGACAAUCAUCUUUUCUUGGACAAGAAAUCUCUCUUUAAAUAGAUUUGUAAGCUGAACACUGAUGCAAGUCUCAUCUGGUUAGGAGGAUCAC